rnacentral:lncRNA from 1 species
ACUACGAGGUUUUGAUCCUAAUCUUUUUUAAGAUGGUACGUAGGCAAUGGGUUUAUCCAUCCAAGCACAAAAAUGUAAAUAAAACUUGUAUAUUCUCUUCUCAUCUCUUCAAUCAUGUUUGCAAAAACAAAUUUUUACAAAAUACCAACCUUACAACAAGUAUGAAAAGGGCUCCCUAGGAGUACCUAGGAUGUUUUGGGUGCUUAAAAC